rnacentral:rRNA from 1 species
CUGAUAGCUCAACUAUUAGGCUUUCGGGGGAGUACUGCCAGACUGGAACCGGGAGAGGUAAGAGGUACUACAGGGGUAGGAGUGAAAUCUUGUAAUCCCUGUGGGACCACCUGUGGCGAAGGCGUCUUACCAGAACGGUUCGACGGUGAGGGACGAAAGCUGGGGGCACGAACCGGAUUAGAUACCCGGGUAGUCCCAGCCGUAAACGAUGCUCGCUAGGUGUCAGGCAUGGCGCGACCGUGUCUGGUGCCGCAGGGAAGCCGUGAAGCGAGCCACCUGGGAAGUACGGCCGCAAGGCUGAAACUUAAAGGAAUUGGCGGGGGAGCACAACAACGGGUGGAGCCCUGCGGUUUAAUUGGACUCAACGCCGGACAACUCACCGGGGGCGACAGCAAUAUGUAGGCCAAGCUGAAGACUUCGCCUGAAUCGCUGAGAAGUGGUGCAUGG